rnacentral:snRNA from 1 species
GGAUGUGAGGGUGACCUGGCUGUGACAUCUGUCAUCCCAUUGAUCGCCAGGGUUGAGUCAGCUGACCUGGUUGCCUAGGUGAGUGUCCCCUUCCUCCGUCAGUGCUCCAUGUGCGUCCCUCCUGAAGCUGCACACUCGGUUGAAGAGGAUGACUACCCCCAAUAGAGGAGGACCGUUCCUCGGUCAAGGGUAUACGAGUAGCUGCGCUCCCUGCUAGAACCUCCAAACAGGCUCUCAAGGAUUGGAUACAGACCUUUAAUGUCUCCCUAGAAUAAAAUACCAUCUCCUCCCUUU